rnacentral:lncRNA from 1 species
CUGAUACUGACAAUUUGAAAAUACUUGAGUUCAAAUUCAUCCAUAACGAACAACCAUUUCCUUCUCUCAUUAAUGACCACAUUAUAAUCAAUCCUAUCUUUGAUCCUGUAGUGGUCAGAGCAAAAAUGGAGACGGCUUUGUUGGGUGGAGGAGAAGGCAGCAGUGGCGACCAAAGAAGGGAUCGUAGGAACUUGUUUAACAGAACAGAUGCCAUUGCUUAUGGAUCAACAUACCAGAAGGCCGCUGCUUUGGUUGAUCUCGUAUGUUUCUUGUUUUUUUAUGUUAAGUUUCAUAAUAUUGAAUAAAAAUGUUGUAGCAGUAUAGUUUAGCUGGUAAUUCAAUGUGGGUAUGUCUGUACAUUGAAGAAUAUGAUGUUAAAGUUGAUGAAGAUAUAAUAGAUUCUGUUAAAGCGUCUAUUUUAAACGCAAUUGGUAUUGAAAAUGGGGAUUCCGACUUUACUGAAUUCUUGGAAAGUCUAUUAAGAAAAGUGGACGUGUGUAGGGAUAUUUUGAUCUUGAUAAUUUGCUUAAGAUAUGAAAUUUCUUUGAAUUACGAUUGGGUGAUGGUUUUUGCAAGUUGUACUUUUCACAUUUGUAAUGACGUGGGCACCUUAAGUUAGUAUGUUUGUGGUGGAUUAAUUACUUGGUAUCAAGAAUUUUUAUGAAGGAAAAGAUAGUCUGUGGUGGAAGGUUUUGGGUCCGUGGCAACUGGCAUUAGAGAACGACUUACUGUAAGUGUAGAAAUAGUGGAUAUUUCGAACUUACUGAAUAUAUUUCUUUCUGAAUAUAAUUCUUUUGUCAAUUCAAUUCACCACCUGGAUUUGUAAAUAGUGAAAGUGUUAUGGAUUCAAGUUAAGUUUUACUGGCCCCAGAAAAUGGGAACGUUUCUUAUAUUGGUGACCACAAAUAAACAUGAUUACACUCUAUUCAGCAUUUUUUACUGCAUCGUAGACCAAAAUUGUUCCUGAAGCCUUGCAUGGUUGACCGAACUCAUUUCAUUUGGUAUUGAAGUCACCUAUGAGGUGCUAUCCCUCAUCUGAACUCUGGAUGUGGAUUGUCAAUAGACUGGAUGCUACAAGAAUAGUACGUAUUUUUCUGUUUUUGUUUUUUGUUUUCUUUUUGGGGGGUGGGUGGGUGGUGUGAGGGGUUGAUAAGACCUUGCCUUCAUAACACCUGGACUCAUAUCAGUUUGGUGGUAACUACUACUUGGAUGCUCAAGCAUUUCCGGAUCAGUUGGCUUGUGCCAAUGCUAAGUAGAUUUCUGGGGCGUAAUUCCAACACUGGAAUAUCAAGGAAAUUAGAGGAUACCUUCAUGCGUAUUAAAGGAUGAGAAUGUCAUCAGUACAGUACCUUGGAUAGAGACAUAUUCCUGAAAAUAUCUGGAAUGCUUAUAGCAAUCUCUGCUUGCCCCCCCUUUAUAAUGAUUUGAAAUAUCUCUUGCAUUUGCAGGCUGAAGAUGGUGUUGGUAUACCUGAGGAAAUUCUUGAUAACUCGAGCUUUGCAAGUUCUCUGAAAUCCUACUUCAUAUUUAUUCGAUUUGACUUUCUCUGGUCUCUUAACUACUUUGCAUUAAUCAUUCUAAAUUUCUUUGAGGUUUGUGUAUCUUCCUAACUCCUAGUAUAUCUAUUUUUUCUCUUUUUUUGUUUGACAUUAAAUAAUUAUUUAUGAUUUAGAGAUAUUUUUUAUUAUUAUUAUUUUUUUUAAGUUCAAUAUUUGUUGGAAUUGAUACUUAAAACUACGUUUGGUUUACAUCCGCAGAAACCUCUAUGGUGUUCUGGGUAUUGCAAUAAUAGAGGUUACUACUUUCUCGGGCAGCUGCCAUACUUGACUGGUGCUGAGAGUCUUGUAUAUGAGGUAAGGUCGAAAUAGUACACCCAACAUCAUGGAUGAAUAUUUAUCUGAAUUUUGGCUAUUGCUAUAGUUGCCUUUCUUUGACCAUAACAAAUUGGAUUGAAGAAAAAAUAAGUUGUACUAAUUUUUCCUUUUUGGGGUUGGGGGCGGACAUAAGAUCCAGAAAUUUUGAUUUAAAUAUUUAAAAAUAUAUAACAAAACAAUCAUCUGUGAGGCUAAUAUAGAUAUUAGACGUGCUUGUGUUCAAAAAUCAUUUUAGCAGAAGAAAAAAUCUACAGUGGAUAACGAUUAACAAAGAUAGUGAAACGGUCGAACCAAAACUCCACAUCCUUAGAUUUUAUGCUUUUGAUGAGAAGAUGGAAUGAAAAGAAUGAGAAGUCUGUAAAAACAUGCCAGAUUCGGAAUGUCUUUUAAACAUUGGUAUGUAUUCUAUUGUACUAACAACUCUGGCAGUCAAUUAUUGGAUGCUCGCCUGCUAUAAAAGUUGCACAGAUCUCAGUUGUUUUAGGUCAAUGAUUGACACUUUUGGUUAGUGAUGAAUAAAUAUAAACUAAUUUUUGAUAGCCAAAAAAAGCUGAAUGGGCAGUUGCCGUGUACAAACUUAUUUAUCAAGCAGGAGUAAGAAAAAGAACAAGAAGUCCUUAAAAUGAAAAAUAUACAUAGGACACAAAAUUGAAUUUAAUGGCAGUCAACAAGGCAUGCAGUUUUUCUGGUGUUGUAUUAUCCAGUGUUACAAGAACCGGACCCCUGUCAGUUCAACCUGGAAAAAUGGGGGAACCGGUCUAGAAACAGAAAAUAUAAAAACUAAAAAAAUUCGUAACAUAAUCAAUGAUCUGACCGGUUCUGGUUCUCCUGAACACAAACCGGUUUUACCGGCUUUUUCAAGUUAUACUUUCAAACAAACAAAAAAAAAAUCAUAUAUUUACUUUUAUUUUUUUUUAACCAUCGGGACUCCACUUCGACCCUUUACCCUCUGUGUUUUCUUUCUGCACAUGAAUUGUGUAGCACUUUGCUAUGAAACAAGACAGUUUACUGCACUAUAGAAAUGGAUAUAUGAAUGUUAAAAUGCAAUUCCACCUGCACUUCUACUAGUAGCUGAAGUUAUGGAAUAGUUUAUUGAUCUGAAACUUCUUGCAGUUCUUUAUGUUUUAAGUCUUACUUCGUGCUACUUUUGAAAAUAUACAUACAUAACUAGAGUUCCACACUCUUGUAUUUCUUGUAGAUUGAACUUUUCUCGUACUACCUUUUGCAGGUUGUUACACUCUUGAUCCUAAUUUUACAUACUCUGUUUCCAUUAUCAUAUGAAGGGAUUGGUUUCUUCUGGAGAAAACUUCUUAACAAAGUUAAGGUAUUCACUUUUAAUUAUGAUUUCAUAAUUUGCUGCAAGAAGCUUCAUUCAAAAGGUCUUAUCUUAUUAAGGAUCAUGUACAUGAUAAAGAAAGUUAAUCGUGAAAUAUUUCUUCCUUGUUUUGCACAUAUGUCUUAUAUGUUUUUCUGAAUUCUCUCAUUCGGGGGCAGAACUAUAUAUUUUUAAGGUUUGGCUUCCCAUUCAAUUUAUAAAAUAUUUUUAACAGCAUGCACGUUUUGAUAUGUUGUUCAGUAUUUCAGCUCCUCUUAGAGAAUGUGGUGAGCAUUCAAAUAAAUCAAAUCUUAUGUAGUUUCUUGUACCAAAAUCGGAAUGAUGCUGCCUCCUAAAUUAGAAUAUUGACUUCGAUCUUUUUGCAUUGACACACUUGAAUAUACCAAUUUUCCAAUUUCUAAAUAAACUUAUUGCUUUUGCCUGAUACAUGGUUUAUCAAUUUGUACCAUGUUAAUCUCGUUUAGCAUAUUAGUUUUCUUAUAUAUUUUUUUUGCCCAUUCAAGUGUUACAGCAAAUGAUUUUGUUUGUGCUAUUAAUAUCUUGAGAACUCAAUUUCUUUUGUUUUGUUUUUUGUUUUUUUUUUUAAGAUCAUAAUUUCUAUUUUCUCACGAGUAGAGGAACAUUAUGUGACUACAUCAGAUAUAAACAACACAGAGAUUUUCAUAUCAAGCACUAAGUGAUAAAGAUCUACAGUUUAUGCAGCCAUUCCUUGCUCCCUAACAAUCAACUGGAAUUAAGUAAAACAGUUAUAGAAAGUAAAGAAAUCUUGAGGAAAAAGUGGGUUUUACUGUUAGACAAUAAUCACGGGUCUUUCCUAUGAUGUAAACAUGUGAACAGAGGAAGCAGUAUAUUUUGAUGGAAAAAUAAGUGUUUCUGAAAUGAAGAGGCCUAUGGUAUAAACUGAGAACAAGAAUGGAUGGUUUUGUGUUUAUUUUCAUUUUUAAUCUCCAACUUUUCCAGAUAUGUUCUGUACCUGUUUUUUUCUUUAUCAACUUGUAUUACAUGAAAAGAAGAACAGAAGAGAAGCUAUAAUGGAGUCCUUUGUUACAUUAUGGUCAUCUACAAUACGUGGAAGGACUUAUAACAUAUAUCAUAUUUUUUAUUGCUUAUGAUUGGAUAUGUGAACUGUUGAAAUGAAUUUGUUAUGGCUUAAAAUCAAGAAUUGAAACGAAAAAUUAUUGGCCAGACUAGUUUGGUUUCAACUUGAAUUGUCUUUUUGGUACCAUUGAAACGAUAAAUUUUAAAAAUUGAACCUUGAUAAAUAAUCAGUUCUUUUAUUGAUUUUUAGGUACUUCUGUUGUUACUAUUGGUUGCCGAUCUAUUAGUCUAUGUUAUCUAUCUGUCCCCAGUGGCAUUCUAUACUCUUCCGUUUAGGAUUGCACCCUAUAUACGGGUUGUAUUUUUCAUCCUGAACAUCAGGUAUGGUAUGGGUAGUUGGAUACCCUAUUACAGUUUUUCUCCUGCAUUAUGUUCUCAUUUGUGCUUUCUGGAUUUUUCGUCUUUCCCUGGGGUGCUAUGUCCCAUUAGGAUUUAUACAUUGGUUUUGGAAUAACUCUUCCUGAUUACAAAGUUCCAUCUUCUAGCUGGCACGCUCUUGAACAUUGAAAUCCUAUUGUUGUCUUUUGGACUAAGGUUUGGGAUUAUCAUUUGGUGGAAAAGUUUGCCUGUCAAUUCGGGUAGAUGAGUUUUCCAGUUUUGAUGCUGCUUUUCAACUGGUAGAAGCAGUCUUCACAAGGUGAACAUUGGUUUUUAUUGGAAUCAUGUUCAGAUGGAUGCAAGGUUAUGGACUGAAUAAAUUACCAAAUUUACAAUAUAUGAAACUGAUUUCCACCUUUCGACUAUACAUAGGUGAAAACUUAAAACCAUGAUAAGCAUAUCAUUCAUUAGAAUUGAUUGUCAGUUAUGGUGCCCACUUGAGGGCGAUUGCUUGGAGAAAGAAGAGGUUGGAAUUUGUUGAUUUUCAAUUAACCCAACACACAGGAAGAGGAAAUACCAUUCUUCCCAAAAAGGAUACUCUAAGCCAAUCAUAUGCCACGUAGCAUCAUUUAAUUCCUUCGCGUGACUGCUAAUUUCCACUAACUGAAUUGCUUCUUAAUUUUGUAAAUUGACAUUAGGGAUUUACGAGAUAGCAUUGUCAUCCUGGCUGGAAUGUUCGGCACGUACCUUAAUAUUCUGGUGCGUCCACUUAGUAGUUCUGGUACUUAUCUUCAAAAGAAUUUAUUACACAUAUAAUUGAAGUAUUGCCACUAUUAUGAUCUUUCUAUCUCUUCAAUUUCACGAGUGAAAUUUGAUUGUGCUUUUUGCCUUUCUGGGGACCUAAUGCAGGCUCUAUGGGCUUUGUUUCUCUUGUUCUGUAGCUGGUUGGCAUUUGUUAUUUUUGAAGAUACGCAACAGGGAAAGACUAUAUUCACUUCAUAUGGUACCACAUUAUACCAAAUGUUUGUUUUAUUUACGACUUCCAAUAACCCAGAUGUCUGGAUUCCUGCAUACAAGUAAGUAGCUUUGAAACAUUGGUUUUUUAGAUUCAUCCUCUUCUCUCUUUCUAAUAUUGCCUAUUUAUUAUGCUGCAUUCCUUCCCCCUACCUUGCACCGUUAAGGUAGUCAUACAGCACACACAGGAGAAGAUUUGAAUUUACGUCCAAGCAACACUGCUAAACCUUUAGAACUUAUUAACGACUUCUAUAGUUAUCAAUUUCCAUAUUGUUCUACUAUUUGCUUAUAACUGAUUUUCUCUUGUUUUAUUCACCUCCAUGAUAUGUUGGUUCAUAGGGCCUCACGGUGGUAUUGCCUAUUUUUUGUUCUCUACGUGCUGUUGGGCGUUUACUUUGUCACCAAUUUGAUUCUUGCUGUUGUAUAUGAUAGCUUUAAAAGUGAGGUAUUUGAUGCAUCCCUUGCACUAUAUUUUUACGCUAACACUUUUUCUGUAUAACUCAUAUAUUAUCCAAUUGCCCAAUAUGAGAUGAAAUAUAUCACUUGCCAUUGUAGAAGGAAUGGAGCUUCAAACUCCUACUUCAGAUUUGGAGGCAUUAUACUAAAUUGCUGUCUUUCUUUUUUGGCAUUCAUUGUUGUCUUACAAAAAGCACUAUACACCAUUUAGAUGUCAAUUUGUGACUUCUUGUUCUCAUGUUGACAGCUUGAUGUGUAUCUAAUACUAGUUUUUGUUACAGCUCGUAAAACAAGUCGAUCAGAAGGAUCGUACAAGGAUGAGAAUACUAAAGAAAGCAUUUGACCUGAUGGAUAAUUAUGUGAGUAUAUUUUUUUAUCUUCAUGUUGUGAAUGAUGGUUGGGUAUACUUUAUGUUUUCCAUUCGUAUGGGUUGGGCGUGAGUUGGGUUGGAUUGAUUUUUUAUCCAAUCCAAAUCCAACCUGACAUGGUGUGUUUGAUUUAAAAUCAAACCAACGAAAUCUAAUUACUUGUUUAAACUCAACCCAAACCGAUAAAAUUUGGGUUGGUUUAGGUUGUGUUGAUUGAUUUGGGCUUGGGCCCAAUUCAAGUUGGAUUCGAUUACUUUUUGUUGAAUUUGAACAAUUUUUAAAGUUUAAAAUCACUUGAAAAUCUUCAUUAUUUUUAACAUAAAUAAGGAAUUCAUUUUGAAUUUUGAAUUUUAUAAAUUAGUUUAAAACUAUGGAGCAUUUUCUUUUUUGUAACUUUUUUGGGAUUUAUUCAUUUUAUUAUCACAUCCUUAAUUUUUAGUUUAUCGUCAAAUUAUUUUGCAUUUCUACAUAAUAUUCAUACCAAUCGACCUAUGUAAAAAAUGGAACGUUUGUACAUUCUAAAUCCUUCUCUUAUCUCCACUAUUGUGUCUAAUUCAUUGGGUUGGGUUGAAUUGGGUUUUAAUUCAUAACCUGAGACUCAAUCCAACCCCACCUCAAUUUUCAUUUUUCAACCUAACCCAACUCAAUUGGACUUAAAAACCAACCCAAACCGAUCGGUUUGCGUUGGGUUGGUCAGUUUAAGUGGUUUGGGUUGGUUUAACUUUUAAAAAGCUUGACCAAUUGAUUUUCUUCUAAACCAAAGCAUAAUAAUCAUGUGAAAUUUUGUAAAUUGGUAGAAUCAUGCUAUUUACCCUUCAUGUGUUGUUAUAAUAGUGAGCACCAAUUCUAAUCUGAAUCUGCCCCUGCAAUUCCUCCCAUCGGUUAGUAAAUUUGAUAUUUGAUUUUUCCAUGAGGAUUCCUUCCUGCACUUCUGCUUUCCCCUAUUGGAUCUGAAACUAUGGUGUAAAAUGAAGUUGAUUUUUUUGGGAUAAUUUCUAUGAUUGGUACGGGUCAUAUUUGCAAAUGAUAUAAUAGAAAAUGAAGCAAAAAGAGGCAUAUUCGUUGUUGAAGAUGUAAUUUAAAUGAAUUCAGCAUGGUAAGCAAAGGUUCUGAGUUCGAGUCUCAUCACCAUCCAUUUAUGAAAAUGGUAUGCGUAUCAAGCCUUUGAUAAAAAAAUGAAUCUGGCCUGUGCACCUUGUGGAACAUGUUGAAGACAUAAUAGAUUUAUAGAUGCUUGUUCUCUCUUGCACCUUAAACUUUUAGAUAAUGUGAUUCUGUUAUGAUGACCUUGUGCAUGUCUGAUUAUACUUCAGCCAUUGAGAACUGCUAUGGCCCAUAUCCAUCACUCAUAUUAUUAGAGAGCCAUUGGAUGCAUUGCCUCCGUGAACUUUCAAUUGCAGUAUGCUGCAACCCCAACCCAAUCUGUCGCCCAAACACACAAAUACAGAGGCCACUUUCACCAUCUCCAUCCACAUAAGGGAGAUUGCUCACACAUAUUGCCUUCCAUUAAUCAACUAGGUUUCUUUUUUAAAUUCUUUCUAUUUUUUACCUAGGACUUCAUAUAAUUGACUUGGCACUCGCCAUCUACUUGUUCAACUUUUUGACAACUUGAAAAAACUAAAAGCUUUGCCCUCUUUAUCCAUCCAAGGGAUGGAAGGGUAGAGGCCUUUGGUGUCACCUUCCGUCAAGAUUUGGCCUCAUAAUUACUAGCCUGUAGUUUUUUUUUUUUCCAUGCAUUUCUUCGUUAAUGGUUUGAUAUUCUAGUGGUUGGUUUCAUUAUCAUGUAUCGGCCCCAAAAUUGGCUUGGUUUUAAGAUGUAGAAUCUAUGGUGAGUCACCAUUUAGUGGGGGUCAGGGGGUGGUAUCUUUCUACUCUUGUUAUGAAGUUACAGUUACAGUUAUACCACAUUUGAAGUGUCUCAGUAAUUGUGGAUCUGGGAUAAUUAUAAAGAUAAUCCUAUGUUUUAGCAUUGUGGAUUUGAAAAUUGAAAAAAAAAAAAAAAAAAUGGUUGACAAGAAGCUUAACUGUUGGUUCUCCUAGGAUCAUCUAGGGGAUUGAUGGAAUUCGGUUGUAAUAUGAAUUUUUGGCUAACCUGGGCUGUCCUAACACAUGUAAUGGGAUUGUAAGCCCCACUUGUCCUUGUUGAAAGAAAAAAGUUUUUUUUGAUGAGUUCUUUGUUGAAAGAAAAAAGUAGUAAAGAAUGGGAAAAUAAUUAUUACUUCUGACCUCUGCUCCCAAAUGAAAAGCUGGGCUAGCAAGCCAUGUGUCAAGUACUGUUAUGACCAUUCCAAGUUAUUAUAGUUAAUUGAAUUUUGAUUAAGUAAUCAUGUAAGUUGGUGGAUAAAUUUUAUGGAACGCUAUCAAUUAAAUAUCCAUGGAAAGAACAAUUCGUCUUUGCUUCAAUAUGUAAACAAUCAUUACAGAGCAUAUCUGGACAUCAAAGACGAAAUGAAAACUUGACCUUUGAAAAUUUUAUUUGAAGAAAAGAACCAUUUUGUUAAUGAUUAGAAUUUAAGAAUUUGCUACUAGAGAAAUUGGGUAGAUGGCUUUAAUUCUAAGACAUGGAUAAUUCAUGAUUGGAGUUAGUUAAGUGGUUGAUAAUGCACGGACAACUCAACCCGAGUUAUUCAAGGAGGCAGUUAGUAGAUAAUUAAGUUUUGAUCCAUUUGAAAGCACAAGUUAAACUCUUUGUGAACCUAUACUUUGAUGUGUUAAGUCAGACAUACCGAAUUAGCAUAUUUGGAAUUUAGUUUUUUGAAGAAUUUAUGGGUUGAAAUGAAGUUCUGCAAAAAUGAAGGACAAGUAUUCCUCCAGCUAAAAUAAGCAUUAAAUCUGGGAAUUCUGUAAUACAUUUUUUAAUUUCCCANGUGAACCUAUACUUUGAUGUGUUAAGUCAGACAUACCGAAUUAGCAUAUUUGGAAUUUAGUUUUUUGAAGAAUUUAUGGGUUGAAAUGAAGUUCUGCAAAAAUGGAGGACAAGUAUUCCUCCAGCUAAAAUAAGCAUUAAAUCUGGGAAUUCUGUAAUACAUUUUUUAAUUUCCCACAUGGCAACUACGUAGGAAAGCCAAUCCAUUGCUUGUUCCUUGUCCAUUUCUCUAAGCAAAUUAUUUUUAUCUGUAAUUGUACAGGCUUGUCUUCAAACCUAGCUAGAACUGUUUCUUUUAUUUUUAAACAUUCUUUUGAUUUUAUGUUUUCAUUUGUUUCACACUUCUUGUAAUUGACAGAAUCUUAAUUAUCUCAACAAGGAUCAGUGUAUUCUUCUGUUCGAAGAACUGAAC